rfam:Erinaceus europaeus unplaced genomic scaffold scaffold00310, whole genome shotgun sequence
GUGCUCACUUCAGCAGAACAUAUUCUAAAAUCGGAAGAUACAGAGAUUAGCAUGGCCUCUGCGCAAGGAUGGCAUGCAAAUUAGUGUAGCGCUCCAUAUUUUU